GUCUUCGGACUGGUGAUGAGCGGCGUCCGCUCCGGCGGUGCCGCUGUCACCGGGAAGAUGACCGAACUUGAUCAUUUAGAGGAAGUAAAAGUCGUAACAAGGUUUUCGUAGGUGAACCUGCGGAAGGAUCAUUA
rnacentral:rRNA from 1 species